UACGGGGGGGGUAAGCGUUGUCCGGAAUUAUUGGGCGUAAAGGGCUCGUAGGCGGUCUGUUGCGUCGGGAGUGAAAACUCAGGGCUUAACCCUGAGCCUGCUUCCGAUACGGGCAGACUAGAGGUAUGCAGGGGAGAACGGAAUUCCUGGUGUAGCGGUGAAAUGCGUAGAUAUCAAGAGGAACACCAGUGGCGAAGGCGAGUCCCUGGACAACACCUGACACUGAGGCACGAAAGCCGGGGGAGCAAACAGG
rnacentral:rRNA from 1 species